rnacentral:tRNA from 1 species
GGUGGGUUGGCUCAGUGGUUAGAGCGUAGGUCUCGUAACCGAAAGGUCGCGGGAUCGAAUCCCGGCGCUA